GUCCAGCGGUAGAACUCGAGGGUGUCGUUCACCACGCUGGACACCAGGCCCAUGGCGCUGGGGGGCUCGGCGGCGGCGGCACCCAUGCAGUUUGGAUUUUUCUUCUCUCUUCCCCUGCUGCUACCCCUUGACAAACACGCUGAGGGUCCGGCGUGAGCGGUGCUGGCGUUACCUCGGUCUGUGCGUACCGAGGCUCUUGUGCUGCUCUCAGGAGCCUCCGCUAAGAUCCCUUCUCCUCCCAGUAACACCAGCGACCGCAGCGGGACCUCGCUACCUCCCUGCCCCACCACCUGGUGGCACCUCCCUGGCCAGCCUGCUCCAGGCGCCCUUCGCACACCUCCCCUUGUCUCCUGGACCAAGGCCUUUAUGGUCGCUUCAUGGAGCAGAGAGAUUCAGCUGCCCGGAGUGUUGCUGGGUGCUGCAGGAGAAGCAUCCAUUCUGCACCCUGUGUUUCAGUCCCAGCAAACCCUCGUCCCAGCUGCUCCUCACACCCUUUGCUUCUUAUCUCCUCCUUGACAGCUUGUCUGUCCCAUGAUCUUGCAUGGUGCAGAUGGCUACAUGACACCCUUGGGAGCGAGAGGCAGGAGGGGACCUGCUCCACCCAAGCUGCAAGCUUUCCUUCUAGCAGGCAGCAGAUCAGAUGGUGUCUGCUGCUCCCUCCUCCAGUGCAGCAGCACCUCUGUCACUUGUCACUUGGUCUUGGUGAGCACAGCUCGCACUCCUCCUCCAGGGUGAGUCACCUCCGGCUCAGCUCCCGCACUGCUCUGGCUGCUGCGAUCCCAACCCUAUAGACAGGAGAGGCACACUGACCAUCACUACUUACUCCACUGGAAGCAGAGUCACUGCACCAGGCAUUUGGCAGUAGGGAUCACCUAUGCUGGGAAAAGGAAGAGAAGCUAUGUCAAGACUUGGAGGCCUUGAUGAACAGGGAAGUCCAACUUAUCCCAACGCUGGCUGAAAGUUGGAGCGAAGUGAGGUUAUCACAUGUGGAUGUAUGGACAGCCGCUACUUCUCUCACAUGAGAAGAGUCAAUCAAAAUUCUUCAUGAAUUACAGUGACUUGAAUUAUGCCUUGUUUUGGUGGCAGAAGGUCUGGUGAGAGCUCUGCAGUGGAUUUGUCACUGGGUAGGGCAAGGUGAACACCAACUUGCUUCUCAAAUUGCCGGCAGACAGUGUAGCGUUAGCUGUGUUUCCUGUGCCUCCAAUAGGAGAAACCACUGGAGUGUAUUGUUGGACAUUUAGUAUCUUGAUAUGUGGUUAGCAUUGUCUAAAGCACAGCUUCAGAACUUUCGGUAACAUUAUCAUUUAAAUCAAAAGGAAACCAGGAGAUUGAGUCAUAAUCCUCAAAUUGGUAUGUGGCCAUUUGUGUUGGCCAUAGCUUGAAACAGAACUCUGCUGAGUGAAUCAACAUGACAAAGGUUCACACUCCUCUGCCCUGUUGGGCAAGAUGGGGACUUAGGAGAGUGCCACCAACACUAGGAGUGAAGAUGCACAGUCUACCAAAGAACGAAAAAGGAAAAAGACAUAUUACCAAUAUGAAUACAUAUUUCUGUUAAUAAUUAUAUUAUAGUCUACAUAUACUUACUUCUUUAUUAGAAUGCCUAUUUAUUCUGUGGAAGUCCUUUUUGCACACCAAUAAUUAUUGCUUAUAAAAUGUUUAUAUCAUCCAAUUUACUGUUUCAGCUAUUUCCAAUUAGGUAAUUUUUCUUGAUGGCAAUGAAAUCCUUUAUAUUAGCAAUAUGACUGUACAUAGAUAAUUUUACAGAGCCAUUAUGGCUUGAGAGGAGCCACAGCUGAGUGCAGAGUUUGGACAACAGGGAGAAGACUAACUAUCUAACCAGAGUAAUUUCCUCUUUGACAUUGCUUUGACAGUGCUUUGACAUUGCCUUUAAAAAGUAUGCUGAAAUUUUCAUUAGUUUAAGUUGUAACCUGAAAAUAUGCGGAUGUGCUUAGGUCUGUGUCUGUAUUCCAAGCAUAUCCCAGUUAGUUUUCCACAUUUGUGCAUCCAGCAGGAUAUGCUGCCUUAAGAGUGCUGAGACCAUGUCUUCUACUUAAAGAGAGCAGAAGUAGGAAGAUAUUCAAAGGCAUAGUAUCAAAAUAUCAUCCAAGGAAAUCUCCAGUACAGUAAUCAGAAAAUGAUGAUCUUUCAAUAUCAUUAGUUAGCGUUGACAUCUUCUGCUUGGUAAUCUACAUGUUCUUAAAACCUGGACAUCUCAGAUGGGUAAAUUUCUGCCAGGAAAAGGCAGAUCUGUGGCACCUGAUCCCAGAGGAACACACAGAGUCCCAGCUGUGCUCCAGCCAUUUGCCCAGUGCUCCAGGGUGCUUGUGCUGGCAGCAGGCAAUUGUGCGCUUUGGGAAGGGUGCAGAAGGUAACAGGAAGUUGUAGGACAGGUGGCUCUAGGAAGGUCUCCUCCCAGUUCCCAUUCCAGAUACAAACCAUUGGUAUUUCUUCCAGAUAUUUUUGUACAAAACCCCCAAUGAUGUCUCAUUUCAGAACUGUUUCAAGUCAUUUUCUGCCUCUUCGUGAAAUAAACAAAUAGGAUGGAAAUGUUACAAGUUCCCCAUGAUUAGUACCUUUAGUCAUGCUUGUAAAAACACAUUUAUUCAUUAAUUUUAGUGGAGUAUACGCUAGCAUAAUGAUUGAUGAAUCAGCAGAUGCUUCUGCACUAGUUGAAAGUAUUCCCACUCAGGUUUUGCUUUAGGUUAGCAAUGAAAUUGCUGUAAGGGGAAAAUGUAAUGCAGGUAUAUUUGGUAAUAUUUACGAGGUGUAGUAGGAAGAAAGAAGUCAGAGUUUUGUAUGUUGCCAACAGUGAGCCCUCCAGGCAGCUCAACAAAAGACAAAAACAGCAGUAAAAGAACUCUGCCUUGCUACAAAAAAAAUCACCACAACCAGGAACUUACCUGAUGGGAAAGCAUAAAAUUGCUUGAAUCAACACAUUUUACAGAUCUAAAUGUCGCAUGCUGUGGUAAGGGACAACCUAUUCACUUAUCAGUAAAGGAGGCAUAUAAAGUCUUAUGUGUGUUGAGCAUGAUCAAAUUUAAAUGUUGAAAAUACGUUUAAUUUUAGAAAUGUGUUUUGAUUAAUUACUGAAUUCUCAUAUUUUUAAAAUUUGAUUCCAUCAAUGUCUUAGGAGGGAAAAUGAUUAAAUAAAUUAGCACAUUAAUUUGCAAUGGAUGGGAUUUUCUUGCACAGCCUGUCCGAUUGAUAUGCUCCUUGCAUUAAAACUUCCAAGUUGAUAUGCCUUAUAAAGACUGCUAGCUGAGCAAAAAAAAAGCUAAUUUGAUCUUUGAAUCAAAAAGUACAGGCUCAAGUGUGUUCAUGUACAAUAGUACAAUUGCUAUCUGCUUCAAUAGAGAGGCUGAUUUAAGGCAGGCUUAUACUAUAAAAGCUUAAAAGAAGCUGUUCUCAUACAACCAUAAUUUUUAAAAAUAAUAACAUUUAAACCAACAAUGUGUCUUUCAGCACUAAUUAAUUUUUUUGUUUAUUACGUAACACACUCUUAAUUCCAUAGUUUGAGGUGGGGUAACUGCGCACAGGUAUUCCAUACCACAGAAUGUCUUUCAUAGGAUCUGAAACAGAUCCUGCUUUUUGUUUUCUAAACCAUCUGCUAGAUGUCAUCUGUUCUUUCAUACAUUUAACUGCAUCAAAAGAAUUUUUUUCCAAACCAAUUAUAUUGGAGUGAUGCAUCAGAAAGUGUCCAGAGAUGCAAAUGCUCAGUGCAGGCUUUAGCCAGAACUUACCUUUGAUGUAAGUUCCCGCAAGGUUCCACCUCACUGUUGUCACCAGCAUUGAAUUGGAUUUCUCGUAUGUGUCCAACUUCAUUUUUGAACAUCAGUCAUAUAUACUGUGGUUCUCACAGAAAUAUGAGAAUUAAAGUAUGUUUAAUAUCCUGGUUUAGAUGGUCAAGGGCCAGAUUGAGCACACCCAGUGAAGUAAAUGCAAGUUUUGUUUCCAAAGGGCUCUCUACACUUAUUGACAUUUCCUCUUCAUCUUUCUGAAUAAAAAUUUGGUGCCAAGAAGAAGAUGUGGGAAGUGGUGGGCAGCUUUCUCCCAAGCUAUAUCAGGCUUUACUCUCAAGUAAAUAUAACUGUGGUUUGACUCAGGAUCAUUAUAUUUAGAGAUUUUUUUCUAAAUUGUAGAACUAACCCUAUUUACUGCAGUCCAGGCAGAGACUAGAAGUGUUGGCCUGCAGUGCUGGGCUGCAUUCUGCUGAAACUGCUGCUGUUUAGCACUGGUUCAGAAGAGGUGCCAUUAGUUCAGUGUUUCCCAGCACCAUUCUGAGAGAUUAAUUUAUAAUUUAUUCCUGUGUGGGAGAUGUCACUAACCAUGAAGCUAAUGUGCAUAUCCAGUAUAUGAGAUGUGUUGUGUACCCAGCAGGUACACAUACAUUCAUAGCUUUACCUGCAUUUCAGCUUCCUUUUAAAAAUGAGUGUUCAACAGACAUGAGGAUGAUAAAAACCUGCAUAUAUACUAUCUCACUCUGCCUCAAUGAUACUUUUCUUACAUGGUUUCUCAUACUUUUACACAGCUAAGAUUUUUAUCUGCAGUGAUAUCUGUCACAGCAUCUAUCAUUUGUGAGGUGUGGCAAGCACGCUUUUGCAAUGAGGGCUUCAUAUGUGUACAUGCUGGAGAAGGACGAUGCUAAACUAUGGGCUGAUGUUUUGAAGGCACUGUGUUGAAAUGACAGCAACAUGUAUAGUCAGAUCUGCAGCAAGUCGCUAACUACCAAAUCCAGCCUUUUCCAUAGGUGUGUGUCACUGCUACUGCACCCACUUCACUGGGUGUGUCAGCCUCCUGAAGGCGUGUGGCUGUUUGUAGGGAUGAUCUUGCACCUUUGCUUCUGCACUAGUAAUGGCCUGAAAUGUAGGGCACAGUCCCCUGCAGAAGCUGCUUAUAGCAAUGUAGUCGGUGGAAGGGCGUUGGUUACGCAAGCUGGGUGCCAUUGUGCUCUCUCUGGCUGUAGCUGUGUGAGCAUGGGUGGUAACGAUGGUGCUGCCCAUACCCUUUAUCUAUGUGGUGUGUGGAGGACAAAAUUGUGGUAAAGGAGUUGCAUAAAGGCUGUGUCAGCCCCUGGGCCUCUGAACUGGUGUGACCUGGCAUACCUCUGCCUUUCACGCUGCCAGGGGGAUGCACUGUGGAGCUGCACAGUCUGGAUGGACAGCCUGAGUGCCAGUCCUUAUUAUAGGCUUGUUGUCUUAUCCUCAGAAAAUCAUGUGAAAGUAUUUGCCACAGGCUUACACAUUUUAUAAACAGUAGGUUAGCCACAUAGCCCUACUGAGGUAAUCUGGCAUUAUUAAUUUCAUUUUAUGUAUGGGGAAACCAAGCCUAGAGAAAAGUGAUGCCAGUUCCAGCCGUUUGGAAUGGAAUAGAGCAGAAAUUUUUGGCAUGUCCCUUAAACUACUGUGUCUUGGCCACAACCUGGUAUAAACCCAUGGUUCACUGGUCUUUCCAGUGCCAUAUGCAGGCAUGGGCAUGAGCCUCAGGACACUACUUGGAAAGAACCUUAAGCUCCACCAAGUAGUUGAAGGCAAGACAGACACAUAUAAAACAUAACACUUCCUAUGCUUGUAUAGCGAAAUUCCAAAUUUCUUACUAAACAUAAGAGAGCUUUUGCUCUAAAUUUUGUGCAGUGACUGCUGUAAUUCUUUUAGUUGUCAGGAUGCGCAGUAGAAAAUUUUGUAGUAGUUGUGUGUGUGUCUCUGUGUGUGUGUGUGUGUGUGUGUGUGUGUGUGUGUGUAAGUAAGACAAUGGUGUUUCAAGAGAAAAAGCAAGAGCAGAAAAAGAUAGUAGAACACAUGAAUAUUCAGUUGUUGAAAUCAGAAAUACAGUCAUUACCUUGUAAAGGACCUUAAAAUCAUCUUCUACCACAUCCUGCUCACACUCAGCCCAAGCUGCCAUGCAUUUAUCUGUCCUGCCUGGGGAUAGGCAGGGAAAUCCCCAGGGAGGGCUGCUCUGCAGGCAUACCGUGCUUCCUGCUGUGAUUUGCACUGCCCAUUACAGGGUGUUGUGGCACUGGGCUUGGUGUUAGCCUCUGAGCCAUCCAUUCUUAGCGCAAGAGGCAAUUAAUACUCAGGAAGAUUUUACCAGGAUUACAAAGCUCUGGUGGGAAUGAAGUCACCUGUCCCCAAGGUAAGAGUCACAGCUCUACGUGGCAGAUAAACGGACUCCCACAGGGGAAGCUGACACCUUAAACUGUCGUGGUUUUUAAAAGAUAAUUACUGCAUAUGAGUAGGUACACAAAAUAAGCACAUUUUAUCUGUGUGCACAUUUUAUCUGUGUGCACAUUUUAUGAACUCUGCAUCUACCCACAAAUCUUUAUUUUGCCUCAGGUCUUGUCUCAAAAUAUUAGGUCUUAUCUAUGUAAUGGAGCAGGAUGCUUAAACCCAAAACUGGGAAGCCUGACAUUGGAAGAGAAUCUAUCUGUUAGAGGCAAUAUUAAAGUAUGUCCAAAUGACAAAGGCCAGUCAGAUACUGUAAUACCUGCCAAAAAAUCACAAGUAAUGAGAGGCUCAUGGACACAAAAGGAUAGCACUGUAUCUGUAUUUCAAGAGUUCAUGAAUCAAUACUUGGAACAGAUCUUGUGUAAAUGAAAAGGACUCCGCUGAA